rnacentral:snoRNA from 1 species
AAUGAUGAAUACUAUAUGUAAUUCUUGAUAGGAAGAGUAUGAAACAUAAUGAGUACUACCAAAUCAGCUGA